UGUAGCAAUACACGAGUGGCGCACGGGUGAGUAACGCGUGGAUAUCUGCCUUUUGGUUCGGAAUAACCCCGGGAAACUGGGGCUAAUACCGGAUGGUUCCUACGGGAUAAAGAUUUAUCGCCAAAAGAUGAGUCCGCGUACGAUUAGCUAGUUGGUGAGGUAAUGGCUCACCAAGGCGACGAUCGUUAGCUGGUCUGAGAGGACGAUCAGCCACACUGGGACUGAGACACGGCCCAGACUCCUACGGGAGGCAGCAGUGGGGAAUAUUGGACAAUGGGGGCAACCCUGAUCCAGCCAUGCCGCGUGAGUGAUGAAGGCCUUCGGGUUGUAAAGCUCUUUUGGCGGGGACGAUGAUGACGGUACCCGCAGAAUAAGCCCCGGCUAACUUCGUGCCAGCAGCCGCGGUAAGACGAAGGGGGCUAGCGUUGUUCGGAAUUACUGGGCGUAAAGCGAGUGUAGGCGGUUAUCCAAGUUGGAUGUGAAAGCCUUGAGCUUAACUCAAGAAAUGCAUUCAGGACUGGAUGACUAGAGGACCGGAGAGGAUAGUGGAAUUCCCAGUGUAGUGGUGAAAUACGUAGAGAUUGGGAAGAACACCAGUGGCCGAAGGCGGCUAUCUGGACGGUACUGACGCUAAG
rnacentral:rRNA from 1 species